GCCAUGAGGUGCCUGUAACAGGCUCAUAAUAGGAACGAGUGAGGCGAGACACAGCGGCUUGAGGUGCUCGGUAACCUCUACGGUGGAUUGCCUUGUGUGCUGUGGACAAGGAAUCUGGAGUUCAUGUAUCAUUAUCAAACACAAGCUUGUGGAAGGGGUGGGUGUGGCUGGGAGAAAAUGUUAAACAGGAAGGGAAGAAGCUGGAUCACCACAAACGCCAUGGAGGAGAAGCCCACAAAUUGGAUCUCACGAAUUCCACCACCACUCCUCGCCGCCGUCCAUGCUCCGACGUCAGCAGGGCCAGCAAGACGGCGACUUCCACUGGCUGUAAGCCAUCAAAGCUUUGCAUGCGUGAGGCCGGGUUGAUGUUGACUUAAUCAAUCUCCCUGCUGGCGAGGACUUCCUACAGCUUUGCAAGUAUAAGCACCACCAUUGUUUAGUUCCCAGGAUCUCUUUGCUGUCAUGUUGAAUUUGGAGGUGAUA